GAUGAACGCUGGCGGCGUGUCUACUAUAUGCAAGCUGAGUCUACAGAUGAGGAGCUUCUUCCUCUGAGGUAUGGGGCGGCCAGGUGAGUAAAACGUGGCUAACCCACCUAUAAGACCUGGAUAACUUCGGGAAAAGGGAGAUAAUAUCGGCAGAUAUAUUAAACCGCCCGGUUCAAUCGUGAAUGACGGUUUUUCUGUCACUUAUUGAUGUAUCCGCGCCGCAUUAGCUAGUUGGUAACGUAACGGCUUACCAAGCCGACGAUGCGUAGCCGACCCGCUAGGGUGAUCGGCCACACUGGAACUGAGACACGGUCCACACUCCUACGGGAGGCAGCAGUAGGGAAUCGUCCGCAAUGGGCGAAAGCCUUACGGAGCAACGCCGCGUGAGUGAUGAAGGUCUUCGGAUCGUAAAACUCUGUUAUUAGGGAAGAACAAAUGUGUAAGUAACUAUGCACGUCUUGACGGUACCUAAUCAGAAAGCCACGGCUAACUACGUG
rnacentral:rRNA from 1 species